rnacentral:tRNA from 1 species
GGCAGUUUGGCUUAGUGGAUAGAGCAUGGGCCUGGGAGUCAGAAGGUCAUAGGUUCUAAUCCCAGAUCUGCCA